rnacentral:rRNA from 7 species
GUGACCUCAAAUCAGGUAGGACUACCCGCUGAACUUAAGCAUAUCAAUAAGCGGAGGAAAAGAAACUAACAAGGAUUCCCCUAGUAACUGCGAGUGAAGCGGGAAAAGCUCAAAUUUAAAA